GACGAACCGUGCGAACGUUAUUCGGAUUCACUGGGCUUAAAGGGCGCGUAGGCGGACUCGCCAGUCCGGGUGAAAUCGUUCGGCUUAACCGGAAAAGUGCCUUGGAUACUGCGAGCCUUGAGGAAGGUAGGGCAUGUGGAACUUCCGGUGGAGCGGUGAAUGCGUUGAUAUCGGAAGGAACGCCGGUGGCGAAGCGACGUGCUGGCCUCUCUGACGCUGAGGCGCGAAAGCGUGGGAG
rnacentral:rRNA from 1 species